rnacentral:rRNA from 1 species
UACGUAGGGUGCGAGCGUUGUCCGGAUUUAUUGGGCGUAAAGAGCGUGUAGGCGGCCAAGCAGGUCAGCUGUGAAAACUCGAGGCUCAACCUCGAGACGUCGGUUGAAACCGCUUGGCUAGAGUCCGGAAGAGGAGAGUGGAAUUCCCGGUGUAGCGGUGAAAUGCGCAGAUAUCGGGAAGAACACCCGUGGCGAAGCCGGCUCUCUGGGACGGUACUGACGCUGAGACGCGAA